rnacentral:piRNA from 1 species
UUNCAGGAUUGUCCUACGGCAGCUUUGGCGAU